GUGUGUGAGGGGGUUAUAUCUGGAACCCUUUCGCGGUGCGGGGAGGGCUAGGGUGAGCCUGGAAGGUUCGCAGCUACUGGUCUGCUAGGGAGGAAGGAGUUAAGUGGUGCCUCUGUCACCUGAGCUGGGAGUCAAAUUACCUGGUUCCAGGUUCCCCUUGGAAGGAGGUGGAGCCAGCAGGCCCUUGGGCCCCUGGCUGCCUCAGGCCUGGGUGAGUCCUGCUGACGUCUGGCGGGUUACCCCUGGCUAGGAAAAGGGCUUUUACUGGGGAUUUUCAUUGACUAUCUGUCCCCAGGCCCCAGCUAUGGCCCUCCUACCACCUCUGGACCCUAGACCCCCUUCAGAGCCCCUCAACCACCCCCCUGGAGCCCCUAGGGAACUGAAUCUCGUUGGAUGCGCCAUCUGCCCGGCAUCUGGAGAGGAGAGAAUCAGGCAGGAACAGGCCCAGAAACAGGGGCAGGAUUCCUUGGACCCUCUUGAGCACUUCCAGGGUGGGCUGAGGGGCAAUGAGCCUGCUACUGGCCCUUCCAGACUGCCAGCGCCCUCUGCCGGUGAGGACCCAGCAGGGGGCAAACACUAUGAGUGCCCCAUCUCUGCCCGCGACGUAUUGGAGGUUGACCAGGGGGACUUGCAUCUUUGCCUGUUGGGGCUAGGUCUCCAGCUGCAGGACCUGGAGCGAGGCCUGGGGCCCUGGGCAUCAGCCCAGAGCGGAAUGGUCCAGCUGCAGACCCUACAGGCAGACCUGCGUGGGGCAGCUGAGCGUGUGGAUGCACUGCUGGUGUUUGGUGAGGGGCUGGCACAGCAGAGUGAGCCUCAGGCCCGGGCCUCCCUGGAGCAGGUCCUGAGGGUCCUCAGAGCCCACCGAGACAGCAUCUUCCGGCGGCUCUGGCGGCUGCAGGCCCAGCUGGUCAGCUACAGCCUGGUGUUCCAGGAGGCCAACAUAUUGGACCAGGACUUGGAGGUCGAGGGGGACUCGGACGGGCCAGGACCUGGUGGAGUCUGGGGGCCCCGGGCACCCAGUAGCCUCCCUACUCCUGCAGAGUUGGAGUGGGACCCGGCAGGGGACGUUGGGGGCCUUGGGCCCUUGGGGCGAAAGACACCCUUGACACCAGGGGCUCCCUGUGAGCUGUGUGGCCACAGGGGCUCUCAGGGCAGGGGACAAGGCCUUGAGAAUCUCAUCUCUAUGACACUCCCCAUCCUGGCCCCUCCUCAACUUUGGGUCCCUUUGUCAUUGGUUCUCCAAGGAUCCCACACUGCUCUGUCCCCACAGGACAUGCUGCUGUCAGGCCUUAGCCACCGGAAACACUUAGCAGGGCAUCGAAGACGCUCCUUGCUCCGGAAGUCUCAGGGGAAGGAGCAUGCCGCCGACCUUCAGGCAGCAAAGUUGCAGGGCUGACUCCCACUUGCCCAGCUUGGGUCAUGGCCUCUACUCUGAACCAGUCACAGUGGCCAAGCUCAUGGAGGACUCGGAUUGGCCAGAUCUGGGUCACAUGCCCAAUCACUGAAUUGGAGGUGUGGGGUCAGGAGAGUGAGGAGGUGUGACCCCAUCCCCCUCAAAUUAAGCCACCGUUACCAGGAAAAAGAGGAUCAGAUGAAGGGCAGUAGUAAGAGAAAGUCCACACUGAGUGCCACUUCCAUCCAUUCUGCUGCUGGGUGCUGUCUACCUUUAGGACAAGAAGAGGCAAGCAUCUCCCCACCUACAGGAUGUGAUGCUGGAGGUAGACCCUGGAGCCCCUGCUCCUGCCUCCAGGCGGCCCCUGACCUUCCUCCUUCUCCUCUUCCUCUUCCUUCUCCUGGUGGGUGCCACAGUGCUCCUGCC